rnacentral:rRNA from 1 species
GGAUGAACGCUAGCUACAGGCUUAACACAUGCAAGUCGAGGGGCAGCAUUUUAGUUUGCUUGCAAACUGAAGAUGGCGACCGGCGCACGGGUGAGUAACACGUAUCCAACCUGCCGAUAACUCCGGAAUAGCCUUUCGAAAGAAAGAUUAAUACCGGAUAGCAUACGAAUAUCGCAUGAUAUUUUUAUUAAAGAAUUUCGGUUAUCGAUGGGGAUGCGUUCCAUUAGUUUGUUGGCGGGGUAACGGCCCACCAAGACUACGAUGGAUAGGGGUUCUGAGAGGAAGGUCCCCCACAUUGGAACUGAGACACGGUCCAAACUCCUACGGGAGGCAGCAGUGAGGAAUAUUGGUCAAUGGGCGAGAGCCUGAACCAGCCAAGUAGCGUGAAGGAUGAAGGCUCUAUGGGUCGUAAACUUCUUUUAUAUGGGAAUAAAGUUUUCCACGUGUGGAAUUUUGUAUGUACCAUAUGAAUAAGGAUCGGCUAACUCCGUGCCAGCAGCCGCGGUAAUACGGAGGAUCCGAGCGUUAUCCGGAUUUAUUGGGUUUAAAGGGAGCGUAGGUGGAUUGUUAAGUCAGUUGUGAAAGUUUGCGGCUCAACCGUAAAAUUGCAGUUGAAACUGGCAGUCUUGAGUACAGUAGAGGUGGGCGGAAUUCGUGGUGUAGCGGUGAAAUGCUUAGAUAUCACGAAGAACUCCGAUUGCGAAGGCAGCUCACUAGACUGUCACUGACACUGAUGCUCGAAAGUGUGGGUAUCAAACAGGAUUAGAUACCCUGGUAGUCCACACAGUAAACGAUGAAUACUCGCUGUUUGCGAUAUACAGUAAGCGGCCAAGCGAAAGCAUUAAGUAUUCCACCUGGGGAGUACGCCGGCAACGGUGAAACUCAAAGGAAUUGACGGGGGCCCGCACAGGCGGAGGAACAUGUGGUUUAAUUCGAUGAUACGCGAGGAACCUUACCCGGGCUUAAAUUGCAACAGAAUAUAUUGGAAACAGUAUAGCCGUAAGGCUGUUGUGAAGGUGCUGCAUGGUUGUCGUCAGCUCGUGCCGUGAGGUGUCGGCUUAAGUGCCAUAACGAGCGCAACCCUUAUCUUUAGUUACUAACAGGUCAUGCUGAGGACUCUAGAGAGACUGCCGUCGUAAGAUGUGAGGAAGGUGGGGAUGACGUCAAAUCAGCACGGCCCUUACGUCCGGGGCUACACACGUGUUACAAUGGGGGGUACAGAAGGCGGCUACCUGGUGACAGGAUGCUAAUCCCAAAAACCUCUCUCAGUUCGGAUCGAAGUCUGCAACCCGACUUCGUGAAGCUGGAUUCGCUAGUAAUCGCGCAUCAGCCAUGGCGCGGUGAAUACGUUCCCGGGCCUUGUACACACCGCCCGUCAAGCCAUGAAAGCCGGGGGUACCUGAAGUACGUAACCGCAAGGAGCGUCCUAGGGUAAAACUGGUAAUUGGGGCUA